rnacentral:rRNA from 1 species
AGAGUUUGAUCCUGGCUCAGAUUGAACGCUGGCGGCAGGCCUAACACAUGCAAGUCGAGCGGUAGAGAGAAGCUUGCUUCUCUUGAGAGCGGCGGACGGGUGAGUAAUGCCUAGGAAUCUGCCUGGUAGUGGGGGAUAACGUUCGGAAACGGACGCUAAUACCGCAUACGUCCUACGGGAGAAAGCAGGGGACCUUCGGGCCUUGCGCUAUCAGAUGAGCCUAGGUCGGAUUAGCUAGUUGGUGGGGUAAUGGCUCACCAAGGCGACGAUCCGUAACUGGUCUGAGAGGAUGAUCAGUCACACUGGAACUGAGACACGGUCCAGACUCCUACGGGAGGCAGCAGUGGGGAAUAUUGGACAAUGGGCGAAAGCCUGAUCCAGCCAUGCCGCGUGUGUGAAGAAGGUCUUCGGAUUGUAAAGCACUUUAAGUUGGGAGGAAGGGUUGUAGAUUAAUACUCUGCAAUUUUGACGUUACCGACAGAAUAAGCACCGGCUAACUCUGUGCCAGCAGCCGCGGUAAUACAGAGGGUGCAAGCGUUAAUCGGAAUUACUGGGCGUAAAGCGCGCGUAGGUGGUUUGUUAAGUUGGAUGUGAAAUCCCCGGGCUCAACCUGGGAACUGCAUUCAAAACUGACUGACUAGAGUAUGGUAGAGGGUGGUGGAAUUUCCUGUGUAGCGGUGAAAUGCGUAGA